rnacentral:rRNA from 1 species
GACGAACGCUGACGGCGUGCCUAAUACAUGCAAGUUGAGCGCUGAAGGUUGGUACUUGUACCAACUGGAUGAGCAGCGAACGGGUGAGUAACGCGUGGGGAAUCUGCCUUUGAGCGGGGGACAACAUUUGGAAACGAAUGCUAAUACCGCAUAAAAACUUUAAACACAAGUUUUAAGUUUGAAAGAUGCAAUUGCAUCACUCAAAGAUGAUCCCGCGUUGUAUUAGCUAGUUGGUGAGGUAAAGGCUCACCAAGGCGAUGAUACAUAGCCGACCUGAGAGGGUGAUCGGCCACAUUGGGACUGAGACACGGCCCAAACUCCUACGGGAGGCAGCAGUAGGGAAUCUUCGGCAAUGGACGAAAGUCUGACCGAGCAACGCCGCGUGAGUGAAGAAGGUUUUCGGAUCGUAAAACUCUGUUGGUAGAGAAGAACGUUGGUGAGAGUGGAAAGCUCAUCAAGUGACGGUAACUACCCAGAAAGGGACGGCUAACUACGU